rnacentral:rRNA from 1 species
UACAGAGGUCUCAAGCGUUGUUCGGAUUCAUUGGGCGUAAAGGGUGCGUAGGCGGCGCGGUAAGUCGGGUGUGAAAUUUCGGAGCUUAACUCCGAAACUGCAUUCGAUACUGCGGUGCUUGAGGACUGGAGAGGAGACUGGAAUUCAUGGUGUAGCAGUGAAAUGCGUAGAGAUCAUGAGGAAGACCAGUGGCGAAGGCGGGUCUCUGGACAGUUCCUGACACUGAGGCACGAAGGCCAGGGGAGCAAACGGG